UUGCUGUGCUAUCUUUGAGAAGGGUGACAACUCGGAAGAUUAUUGUAGUAACUAUUACAGCAAGGCAGCAUACCUUGCUACAUAUGGGCAGUCAAUAUCACCAAUCAAUGGAAAAAAUAUGUGGCCAAAGAUACAAUGUG